rnacentral:lncRNA from 1 species
CCAUAUCAGCACCUCAUUUCGCUUCGAUCCAAUAUUGUAGUGACAUGACAGUAAAACAAAGCAUGCAUCAGGAACAGUAAGAAGACAGAGCAGCUAAAAAAAUACAACAAUAAAGCAGUCUUGCUAUUUUUACUGUUUAUCAUAAAACAUGAUCAAUACGGUACCAAAGACAAAACUUCAGAAUGGAGGGCACAAUGAAACAAACUUGUGGUCUGUAGUUCUACUAUUGUUCUCAUAGGACUGUAAAGAAGCACACUAGACAUGAAAAAAAGUGAAGAAUAAGUGGAGUAUAAAAAGACAACUAUCAUUAAAAAGGUUGGAAUAAUCUUUUUUAAAAGAACCUCACAACAUAGGAAAAAUCUGUUCACUAAAUUAGUCAGUUCUUAGUGCCUUUUGAUA